rnacentral:lncRNA from 1 species
UUUUUUUUUUUUUUUUUUUUUUUUUAGAACAUUCAGAAAAAUCCUAGAAUCAAAGGGUUAAAAGGGGGCAGGUGCAGCUUGUCACCCUGCCCCAGGGCUACUUGGCACUUCAUUCAUAAGCUUUCCAGCAAGGAUGCUUUAAGCCUCUUCUUGUAUUGUGUUUGCUAAUGUCCUGUUGGCGUAAGUGAGAGAUAUGGCCAAGCUCAGAUUCCAGGGUAGAGAAAUAGACUGUUCUUCUUGAUGGGAUUGAUGGGAGGAACUGCAAAUGAUUGGGCUUGUUUUGGCCAAUCUAUAAUAUCUAUAUAGGAAUCUGUAAUUCCUAAAGUGCCAUGAUGCUAAGUAACCUCCAAGGAGGUGGAAGGAGCACUGACAGGUGUCAGAAGAGAGUCUAGUGCCGGUGCUGCCAAUUUUUUUUUUCCCCCUGUGGAUCCUUAGAAAAGUCAACUCAUCUCCUCUACCCGACCCCAGAUGCAGAAACUGAAGCACAUGCAAACUGUUAAGCUCAGUAAUCGCUAAAGACCCUUCCAGUAUCCCUUCCAGUACCCUAAUUUUAUCUUUUUUCCCCAGCAGAGGAGUCAGGUUCAAAGUACACAUUGUGGUAACUAAAAACAUACUGGAGUGUGUUGUUUUAUGGCAGUACACGGCACCUCCCGACCAGCCAAACCCUGAGGCAAGACUCGGAAUGAACCAGGCAGUUGCCAGUGCCAAAGGCCAGCACAGCUGCGGCCACUUCCCUCUCCUUUCAAGUUUGACUCGGGUGAGUGGGAGGUGGAAAUCAUUUUUAUUUCUGGUCUGCUUCCUGCUGAUUGUGAGUCUUCCGUUCAUGCCCUGUGCACAUUGAAUCUCACCUCUGCGGUCCUACAUAGAGCUGGUUUCUCCUUUUACAGGUGUUUUCUUUUGCGGAGGUGGUGGAUUGAUGUGGCCACAUUUUCCAAAUACAAAUAAGCCAGCAUGGAAGGAACCCUUGAAAGUAGAGUGCCUAGAGCCAAGUCUUGGAACUGUGGGGUGCCCCAGCCUCUUGGGGCCGCUCCCGCUUUGCUUCUCCUUGCUUUGCCAGUGAGGUGGCAAUGGUGAUGACUGUCCACUUUAAGAAAGCAGCAGUCAAAAACUUGAGGGGAGAGGACAUCAGGAAUAGUGUCCUCUGGGGGUGGGGGCAGAAUUGUGAAUUUUGUCUUUCACCCACAGAAACAGCCAGAAUGAUGAGAGGUUAUGUGGCUUUUCACAUCCUCACAGCUCCUAUCCCACACUUCUCUUCAGAGAUGCAUCCGGGGAGCCUGAAUACAACCCUCUUAGUGGCCUCUUUCCCUCCAGCCUCCCCAUGUUUCCUUACAAACAGAACUACUGG